GCCAACAGCUUGGCCAUACAGGAAGCACCGGUUCUCAUCUGAUCACUGUAGUUAAACUGCGUCGGACACGGUUAGUGCUUGGAUGGCUAACUAUCUAGAAACUCCAUGUGCUGGUUGCU
rnacentral:rRNA from 1 species